UGAGUAACGCGUGGGUAACCUGCCUUAUACUGGGGGAUAACAGCCAGAAAUGACUGCUAAUACCGCAUAAGCGCACAGAACCGCAUGGUCCGGUGUGAAAAACUCCGGUGGUAUAAGAUGGACCCGCGUUGGAUUAGCUAGUUGGCAGGGCAGCGGCCUACCAAGGCGACGAUCCAUAGCCGGCCUGAGAGGGUGAACGGCCACAUUGGGACUGAGACACGGCCCAGACUCCUACGGGAGGCAGCAUG
rnacentral:rRNA from 1 species